GUCCCGGCUCCCCGCCGUAACCUCCCGCUCCUCCUCCCGCCCGUGCCCCGCGGAUGCGGCCGCGCGGGAUCGGCCCCGCCCGGCAUCGCCCGCCGUGAGGCGCAGCACGCGCCGCCCGGAGCCCCGAGCGCUGCAGGACCGCCCGCCCCGCGCCCCGGCAGACAACCACUCCAUUCUAGAUUUCUGGUGGUUUGGAUAUAUUCCACGUACUUCCGAAGGGAUCUGCCCAGCACUUUGGGAGUGUUAGAAGAGGCCAGGAGACUGAGCCCAUCAGCAGUUAUUAGAUAUCUAUCCAUUCCAGAACUAUUUUUUGCUACAACCAGAGACGGAAAUGGCAUGACUGGAGUUUUAAGUAAUUUGACUUUGACCAUUUCGCCAUUUUCUGAGAACUUGGAACAGAAUUUGAACUCUACUUCUGCACUAUCCUAGGUUAUAAUGCCGUCCUUUUCUAAUGAGGGAGAUAACCAUGGAACUGAUCCUCUGACUUUGAGUUCAGCACUAUCCUAUCAAGGCACAACUAAAAGAAAAGUCAAAAAGAAGAAGAACAAUGGAGUCAUCACUGCGAAUAUCUCUGGCACAAAAUACGAAAUUGUACGUAUAGUAGUGAAAGAAAUGGGAUUUAAGAAAGCACCCGAUGAAGAUGAAACAGCUAAUCUUAUAUGGAGUGAUUGUGCUGUGCAACAGGAGAAGAUUGCUGAGCUUCAGAACUAUCAGAGAAUCAACCAUUUUCCAGGAAUGGGAGAGAUAUGCAGAAAGGAUUUUCUGGCAAGAAACAUGACUAAAAUGAUCAAGAGUCAGCCUCAGGAGUACAGUUUUAUUCCUCGGACGUGGAUCUUCCCUGCAGAAUACACGCAGUUUCAGAACUAUGUGAAAGAACUGAAGAAGAAACGGAGACAGAAAACUUUCAUAGUCAAACCAGCUAAUGGUGCAAUGGGACAUGGGAUCUCUUUAAUAAGAAAUGGAGAAAAGUUACAAGCUCAGGAUCACUUAAUUGUUCAGGAAUAUCUUGACAAACCAUUUCUUAUGGAAGGCUACAAGUUUGAUUUACGUGUAUAUAUUCUUGUAACCUCCUGUGAUCCAUUAAAAGUAUUUUUAUAUCACGAUGGACUAGUGAGAAUGGGCACCGAAAAGUAUCACCCCCCCAGUGACUCAAAUUUGAGUCAAUUGUAUAUGCAUCUGACUAACUACUCUGUCAAUAAACAUAAUGAACACUUUGAACGGGAUGAAACAGAAGACAAAGGAAGCAAACGCUCCAUAAGAUGGUUUACUGAGUUUCUAGAAACAAAUAAUCUUGAUGUCUCCAAAUUCUGGAGUGAUAUUUCAGAACUGGUAGUGAAGACUCUCAUCGUUGCAGAGCCGCAUGUUCUUCAUGCUUAUCGCAUGUGCAGGCCAGGCCAAGCCCCAGGAAGUGACAGCGUCUGCUUUGAGGUCCUGGGAUUUGAUAUUCUGCUGGACAGAAAACUAAAACCAUGGCUCCUAGAGAUUAAUCGUGCCCCAAGCUUUGGAACGGAUCAAAAAAUAGACUAUGAUGUAAAAAAAGGUGUUCUGCUGAAUGCAUUACAACUUCUCAACAUACGGACAAGUGACAAAAGGAGAAAUUUAGCUCAACAGAAGGCUGAGGCUCAAAAAAGACUGUAUGGCCAAGGGUCAAUGAGGAAACUGUUGCCAGGUUCCUCAGACUGGGAGAAGCAGCGCCACACGCUGGAAAGGAGAAAAGAAGAACUGAAGGAAAGACUUGCACAAGUACGUAAACAGAUUUCCAAAGAGGAGCAUGAAAAUAGACACAUGGGGAACUACAGGCGAAUUUACCCUCCUGAUGAUAAGACACUGCUUGAAAAGUAUGACAGUUUGUUGGCCACUGCUUUCCAGACGUUUCUUGCUGGAAGAGCAGCUUCGCUUCAGCGGGAAAUGAAUAAUCCUUUAAAAAGAAUGAAGGAGGAGGACAUUUUGGAUCUUCUGGAGCAGUGUGAAAUAGAUGAUGAAAAGCUAAUGGGAAAAUGCACCAGGCAGCGAGGACCUAAGCCCCUGUGUUCAAUGCCAGAAAGUGCACAUUCCUUAAGGAAAACCAAGAACCACGGCAGUGACUGCAGCUGUGACAGCGGUAGCUGCGUGUCAGAAUCAGGAGAGGAAACUGAAAAGGAAGAUCACAAUGAAAAAAAAGAGAAAAAAGUUUCAUAUGAUCUUGAAGAAAAUAAAUAUAAAACUUCAGAACGAUCAGGGAGAAUGAACUGGAAACCUUCCAAUAAAAAUGUAAAAUCUCCAUCGUAUUCGUCCCCCACAUCAUCCACAGGUGCAAUGAGGCGUUCUGUGAGCUGCCCUCGCUCCAUAUCAGUACUCACUGUGCAGUCACAGGCAGCUGAGCAUCGGCCCUACUCAGCCAAAGCCUCUCUGCAAAUGCAGCGCACCUCCUCGGUCAACAGGUCUCAUUCCUUAAACCGUAGCCCAUCUUCGGCCAGAGUCUCUCAGACAGCCACCUUGGGAACCAUGAACUCUUCAGGGUCAGUUAAUAGAACUGGAAAGACAUUAAGAUUGUGUCUUCACAACAACGUGUUAAAGAGUGAGUCUUUGCUACAACAGAAAACAAGAGAGCAAGAGGCUGCUUUGACAAAAGAGACUCUUCUCUUAAUCAGUGACAUGAGAAUCAAGUUCCCAGGAAAAUCAGAUGAAGAAUCUGAAUUAAUUAUAGAAGAUAUUAUGGAUAAUUGGAAGUAUCACAAACCAAAAGUAUCAUUCUAUUGGUUGGUAAAACUGGAUCCAGCAAAGCAACGAAAAGUUUUGGAUAUAGUCAGGACAAGUGUUCGUGCGGUUCUCCAGCAUGUCUGGAAAGCUCCAGACAUCGAAAGUUUGCAUCUGUACCGUCUUUUUGAGCGUGUAUUUAAUCGCUUACUUUGGAGCCGCGGCCAAGGCCUGUGGAACUGUUUCGGUAAUUCAAGGAGCUCUUGGGAAACCAUAUUCAGUAAAAGCACAGAGGUGGUGACUCCUGAGCAACUCCAGUGUUGCCGACGAAUAGUACAGCUUUGUAAACGCUGCCUGCUGGUGGUUUACAAAUACUCAUCAGAAUCAAGAGGAUCCCCAACGGGGAUUAGCCACCACUGGGAUGAUACAAGAUCCCUCAAAGUCACUGUUUCCAGAUUUGCAUUCCUAGAGGUAUCCUAGCAUGUCAGAUACUUGUGGCUUCACAUUCGCAGUGGGAUGCUGUAGGGGCACAGCUCCAGCCAAGGGUCAGGUAUUUAUUGCCAGGACCUUCACUGUUCAUCCUGAAAUCAUCCUCAUCCAAACUUAGCUGCAGUUCAUCUGGAAUGCCUCGCCCUAACAUUUUGUUCACACACAGAUACAGUCACUUGUGAAGUGAAAGGAAAGUUGCUGUUUGUAAAUAAUAGCACCAAUAUUUUUUUUUCAGUUUAAAAUUUGUGAUGAAGCUAAAUAUAAACACUGUUAUAUAUUUCCUACUAUCAUAUUAUAAUAAAAUUUAGCUUAAAACCUACUGUAAAAGCAUAGCUUUUCUGGGAACAUACUAAAUCUUGUUGUUUACAUACACAUGUGAAUGUGUAGAUCUUGCUAGGUUUAUAAGUAAUUCCUUCCUACUAGAAAUGUUAUUUUUGCUGCAGAAUAUAUAAAAUGGAAUUGAUCUUGAAGAUUCUAUUACAGUAUUACAUUAUUUUGUAAGUACAAUACUUUGACUUGAAAAUUAUUUAUUGUAAACUAUAUUAUUUAUUGUCUCAAAUGUAAUUGAUCCUUUAACAAGGUAGAUAAUUGAAAACUCUAAUAGAACAGUAAAACUGUAACAGUUAUCAAAAAUAAUCUGAUCAGUUCUUGGACAUGUUUAAAAUAAAAGCCAAAACUCUGCAAGCCAAACCUAAAGCAGACAUAUUUUUAUUUCUCCUCUGAAAUGACAAGAUUAUUUAAUGCUGCUAUUUUUCUUAAAAGACAUAAUAUAGUAUCUCUUAGCCAAAGCAAAGGCAUCUAGUAGACAAACAGUAAAACAUCAGUAAAAGCGUUCACUUUCUAACUGGAUUAUUGUAAUAAAAUGGAAGCCAACGUUUGUUUCCAGGUUUUUGUUCACAUUACCUAUACCCUGUGCCUUUAGGUUUCCUUUGGGAGCAAGAAGUCACCUUCAGCUUGCACAAGCAUGCAUAGUGCAAGUGGUAAAGCAGACAUUGUAGGAAAUACUGCAGCUGUAAUGUAUUGUUUCAAACUUAAACUAAUUGGUUUGUUGUAGUUUUUAGCAUGCAAUCCAGUACCUACUGUAGAAUGCAUCCUUGCAAUGGACGGUGUUUUCCAGAUUGCUGACACCGUCACACGUUGGAAACCGAGUUCAUUUGAAAGCUCUCGUUCAGCCCCAGCCUCCUGGGGCUGGCUGAAGGGCACAAAAAUAAACCAAGCCAGAGCAGGAACCUCGUAUUAGCAGGAUUUGUACCCUGAAAACAUCAUUCAGGUUUUGCUACAUACAGCCAUUCAUCCCACUCAGCAUUGUGUCACGUGAGCCUUAUUCAUUAUAGAAAUAAUUAUUAAAAAAUCAGUUAAUCUAGAUUUAAAAAUUGUUUCUUAACUGAGUAAAGAACAGAGUAAUUAUUAUUUACCAAAGACUUGUGUACUUAUCAAUUGUUUAACCCUGAUAUGUGUUUGUAAAUUAUUGAUGUAUUUCAGGUAUACUUAAAAAAGUAAUUUGGGGGCUACUUAUCCUCAGGAGCAAGUAUGUUAAUAGUUUUUGAUAUCCAGCAAUUUAAGAGAAAUUUAAGAGACUAAAGGAAUUUGAGAUUGACGUUGUAUGGAAAUGUGUUGGGUUUGUUUUUAUUUUUUAAUUUUAGUCAUAGGAUAAAUAGAACUGGGAAUUUGGGUGAGAUUUUUGAUGCCUGUGCUGUAGUGCCUCAGCUCUAGAACUGCAGAAUAUAUGAUAACAAGACUAUUUGUAAACAAUUAAAAAACCUUCUUGAGAUUAACCAGAUAAAAGCAUUCUUUUCGUCUGGUAAAGUCUUUUUAAUUUUUGUGGUAAUAUUAGUUCAUUAAUAUAACAUGUUCACAUUAAUGGUAUAUCUCUUUUGGUCCAUACAGUGACUAUGAAUGCCUACUGUGGUUAACUGUAAGACCUAAUAAAAGCUGUAAAUUUUCUCUUCUUGGAGAA